CUACACGUGGGGCCUCAGAAAAGACUCAGAAUCCUUGACGCAGUUGCCCGAACCCGGAGCUAAGUUACCCGCAGGGCCAUUGGAAGCCCUCCCUGGCUUUAGGUUUCUCCUCCAGUGGAACCGACAACAAGAAGGUAUUCCAAGCUGCACAAUGAGGCCCAGGAGACCCUUGGUCUUCAUGUCUUUGGUGUGUGCACUCUUGAACACAUGCCAGGCACACAGGGUGCAUGACAACAAGCCUAAUAUUGUCCUAAUCAUGGUUGAUGACCUGGGUAUUGGAGAUCUGGGCUGCUACGGCAAUGACACCAUCAGGUA
rnacentral:lncRNA from 1 species